GACGAACGCUGGCGGCGUGCUUAACACAUGCAAGUCGAACGGCAAGGCCCUGCUUUUGUGGGGUGCUCGAGUGGCGAACGGGUGAGUAACACGUGAGUAACCUGCCCUUGACUUUGGGAUAACUUCAGGAAACUGGGGCUAAUACCGGAUAGGAGCUCCUGCUGCAUGGUGGGGGUUGGAAAGUUUCGGCGGUUGGGGAUGGACUCGCGGCUUAUCAGCUUGUUGGUGGGGUAGUGGCUUACCAAGGCUUUGACGGGUAGCCGGCCUGGGAGGGUGACCGGCCACAUUGGGACUGAGAGACGGCCCAGACGCCAACGGGGGGCAGCAGGGGGGAAUAUUGCACAAUGGGCGGAAGCCUGAUGCAGCAACGCCGCGUGCGUGAUGACGGCCUUCGGGUUGUAAACCGCUUUCGCCUGUGACGAAGCGUGAGUGACGGUAAUGGGUAAAGAAGCACCGGCUAACUACGUG
rnacentral:rRNA from 1 species